CAUUUCACAGCAAAGCAUACACUAGAUGAUGAUAAGUAAGAAGAUAGUUGAAAAUAAAAAUGUUUUGAGUCCAUUUUGGUAUAAAUUUCCCGUUGCAUUGCUGCACUGUUUGCUCAACUUCUCCUUCUUCUAGUCCCGCAAUUGAUUUAGAAAGCAUUGACUCUUCUACCAGCAUUAACAUUGUGCGGAUGCACCGGCUGAUUGUUAAACCAAGCGCGUAUUGUGAAGUAAAAAUUUGCCGAUAAAACGAGUAUAAUAACGAUUAUCAAACCAAUCAAGAAGUGAACACUUGCAGACUACUUUUUUCUUAUUAGCCGUAAAUUGAGUGCGUGUGCGUUGCCAGACUAUACAGCGACUGAAAUAAAAAUUUACGAAAUUCUCUUUUUCCGCUAAAAAGUGUGGCAAAACUGUCACUUUUAGUUUACCGCUAUGCGAAAACAACAGUGCAAGAGCAAAAACAGGAAUGUGGAUGAUUGCAAAAUGGCAGUCGAAAACAUAAACUGUAUAUACAAAAGAUUAUCUGAGACGGAAAAGUUUGCCAUGGAAAUGUACGGCCUAAUGGCCGUGUGGGGACUUUGGGUGAUCCUUUUCAUGUUUGUCUUUACGAUAGUUGUCUGUUUGUUCUUAUACGUACCAUUGUGGUUCUACAAACAGUUCGUGGGAAUGACGAACACCACCGAAGCGCUUGUGCAAAGAGACGACAUACUGUAAAAUUAACUGUUGAUCGUGGGUCUACCAUUUGCAGAGAAAACGAGAAAGUGGAAAGAGAUCUGCGCAAAUUUUUACUAUUAAUUAUGUUUUUAUUUUACAUGAAAGGGUGCAUUUUACGCUUAUUUGUAGUUUUAGUGAGAUUUUUGUACUUUUUUAAUCAAAAAAGUGUUUUGUUUGACCCCGAUAAUCUAAGUUUUGUGAAAAUUGUGUUUAACUAUCUAAUUUAUAUAAAUUAAAAAUCAAAUAUUAAUUAAUAAAAAAUAUUUUUUCCUAACCAAAAUA